UUAUUUUAAUAUAACCUUUUAUUAUUUUAUUUUAUUCCAUUUUUCAAUUUUAUUUGGAUUUUUUUACAAAUUGUAAGACAAAAAUGGAAUUUCAAUCAUUUCAUUUAUCUUCUUUCUUAUUUUUAAGAUAUUCUUAUUUUAAAAAUAAAAUAAUGAAGCAAAAAGUGGAAAUUUUAUCCUUUUAAUAAAAAAAAAUUAUACAGUACAGAACGAAAGAAUACUACUCAAUCGUUAAUUAACAACCCUAAAAAAUAAAAAAAAAUCCUUUUUCUUUAUUUUUCGGCAAUGGAAAGAAAAAAGUCUAGGUAAGUACAAUACUACUUACAAAAUACUCCUAAUUGAAAAGAAAAUUAAGGAGCAAUAAACCCUCUUGAUAGAACAAGAAAAAGUUUAUUGCUCCUUAAUAUUGAUAU
rnacentral:misc_RNA from 1 species